rnacentral:rRNA from 1 species
GACGAACGCUGGCGGCGUGCUUAACACAUGCAAGUCGAACGAUGAAGCCGGAGCUUGCUCCGGUGGAUUAGGGCGAACGGGUGAGUAACACGUGAGCAAUCUGCCCUUGACUCUGGGAUAACUGCGGGAAACUGUAGCUAAUACCGGAUACGACACCUUGGGGCAUCCCAGGGUGUGGCAAGAAUUUCGGUAAAGGAUGAGCUCGCGGCCUAUCAGCUAGUUGGUGAGGUAAUGGCUCACCAAGGCGACGACGGGUAGCCGGCCUGAGAGGGUGACCGGCCACACUGGAACUGAGACACGGUCCAGACUCCUACGGGAGGCAGCAGUGGGAAUAUUGCACAAUGGGCGAAAGCCUGAUGCAGCAACGCCGCGUGAGGGAUGAAGGCCUUCGGGUUGUAAACCUCUUUUAGCAGGGAAGAAGCGAAAGUGACGGUACCUGCAGAAAAAGCACCGGCUAACUACGUGCCAGCAGCCGCCGUAA